UGGGGAAUAUUGCACAAUGGGGGAAACCCUGAUGCAGGGACGCCGCGUGAGCGAUGAAGGCUUUCGAGUCGUAAAGCCCUGUCCUAUGGGAAGAUAAUGACGGUACCAUAGAAGAAAGCCCCGGCUAAUGACGUGCCAGCAGCCGCGGAAAUACGUAUGGGGCGAGCGUUGUCCGGAAUUAUUGGGCGUAAAGGGUACGUAGGCGGUUUUUUAAGUCAGGUGUCAAAGCGUGGAGCUUAACUCCAUUAAGCACUUGAAACUGAAAGACUUGAGUGAAGGAGAGGCACGUGGAAUUCCUAGUGUCCCGGUGGAAUGCGUAAAUAUUAGGAGGAAUACCGGUGGCGAACGCGACUUUCUGGACUUUUACUGACGCUCAGGUACGAAAGCGUGGGGAGCAAACAGG
rnacentral:rRNA from 1 species